GUCAAUGAUGAAAUCCUGGAAUAGGAAGUGCCGUCAGAUGCGACAACUGACGAUUUCUCAUCCACUUUUCUGAGG
rnacentral:snoRNA from 13 species